rnacentral:antisense_RNA from 1 species
GCUCAAGCGAUUUUCCUGCCUCAGCCUCCCGAGUGGCUGGGAUUACAGGCGCACAGCACCAUGCCCAGCUAACUUUCGUAUUUUUAGUAGAGACGGGGUUUCCCCAUGUUGACUAGGCUGGUCUCGAACUCCUGAUCUCAGGUGAUCCACCUGCCUCAGCCUACCAAAGUGCUGGGAUUACAGCUCUUUUCUUGGAAGAGAAGAAACCAUUUCUAUUAAGGGAGCAACAAAGGGCUGUUUUGUACAUUCAUUACAUUCACAAGCCCCAGCAGCUACUAUUAAUGAGUGUCUGGAAUAUGUUCCUGGCAUUUCACCUACACUCUCUCCAAUCCUUCCAAGAAACUCACAAAGCAGGGCUUUUUCUUGAACUUCUCUUCCUCACAACAGUUAAAUCAUCCAUUUAAAGAUGUCAGACAAGCUCUGUGUUCUAAGCCAGACCAUCAAUUUAACUUGUAAAACUACCAACUGUUGCUACACACAGGCAAAGGAAUUAAACUUGGUAGCUGAUCAUUUGAUUACAUCUAUCAGUCUACUGGAGGGCUUCAACGCAGAGUAGGUGGAAUUCAUGGUUCAAAUCAGAGUAUUAAUGGGAUCUGUU